CUCUCAGAGACGAUAGCACUGCCUUGGAGAGUCACACACAUUUCUACUUCUCCAUAAGAAUUGGAUCCUGAAGUCAGCAGAAUGAUAGAGGUGGCAGCGCUCGGCCGGCCAUUCAGCCUCGGGAUGCUGUACGACCGUCGCAGAGAUUCACUGGUCCCUGGCAUGGCUUUGUGGGACCGUGACGAUCUGGUAAUACACACACAAGAAAGACUUCAACAGUUGAAUACUUUUGAGAUAGUCGUAUCUGAAUCAAUUGAGGGCAAAUCAUCAGCACUAAAUGUUGAAGCAUCCCUGAAGGCAAGUUUCUUAAGUGG